rnacentral:rRNA from 1 species
AUGAUGAACAAAGGUAUUCCUCGUCCUAGCAUUGUGUUCUUCAAUUCAGUAAUAAACAGUCUGUGCAAAGAAGGAAGGAUUAUGGAUGCACACGAUAUCUUUGACUUGGUUAUAGACAUAGGUGAGAGGCCUGAUGCCAUUACAUUCAGUUCACUGAUUGACGGAUAUUGCUUAGUCGGCAAUAUGGAUAAAGCAUUAAAAGUACUUGAUGUCAUGGAAUCAGUUGGUGUUGAGCCUAAUGUUAUUACAUACAAUACACUUGUUAAUGGCUAUUGUAGAAAUGGAAGGAUCGAUGAUAGUUUGACUCUGUUCAGAGAGAUGCCGCGUAAGAGAAUUAAACCUGACACUGUUUCAUAUUGCAUAAUAAUGAAUGGGUUGUUUCGUGCUGGGAGAACUGUUGCCGCAAGAAAAAUGUUCCAUGAGAUGACGGAAAAUGGAAUAACAGUGAGUAUUUCUACAUACAGUAUAAUACUUAGAGGUCUUUGUAGAAAUAAUUGUGCAGACGAAGCUAUCACCCUGUUCCAGAAAUUAGGAACAAUGAAUGUAAAGUUUGAUAUUGCAAUACUCAAUACCAUGAUUAAUGCAAUGUACAAGGUUGGGAGAAGAGAAGAAGCUAAGGAUUUGUUUGCUGCAAUAUCACACAGUGGCUUGGUGCCCAAUGAAUCUACUUAUAAGGUAAUGAUAAAAAAUCUUCUAAAAGACGGAGCAGUGGAAGAUGCUGACAAUAUGUUUUCAUCAAUGGACAACAGUGGUAUCGUUCCCAGUUCCCUUCUUAUAAAUGAUAUCAUCAGAAUGUUGUUGGAAAAAGGUGAGAUAGCCAAGGCUGGAAAUUAUUUGUCUAAAGUUGAUGGGAAGAGUAUCUCACUUGAAGCUUCAACUGCCUCAUUGAUGUUGUCUCUCUUUUCAAGGAAAGGGAAACAUCAGGAGGAUAUUAAGUUGCUCCCUGCAAAGUAUCAAUUUUUCGAUGGGUUUGGUUGA